GAGAUACUUUAUUCCGGACACGGAAGUUUUGGAGAACAUGCGUCCUUUGGACUGUAAAAGUCUGCUUGCUGACGGUUUUACUGCGUCCUGUGUUUAUACGAUCUAUCCCUGGUACAACCGUUCAGUGGAUGUUUACUGUGAUAUGGAUAUUAAAAAUGGAGGUUGGACGGUUAUACAGAGGCGUGUUGACGGAUCAACG